CAGUAGCCGCGGUAAUACGAAGGGUGCAAGCGUUACUCGGAAUUACUGGGCGUAAAGCGUGCGUAGGUGGUGGUUUAAGUCCGUUGUGAAAGCCCUGGGCUCAACCUGGGAAUUGCAGUGGAUACUGGGUCACUAGAGUGUGGUAGAGGAUAGUGGAAUUUCCGGUGUAGCAGUGAAAUGCGUAGAGAUCGGAAGGAACAUCUGUGGCGAAGGCGACUAUCUGGGCCAACACUGACACUGAGGCACGAAAGCGUGGGGAGCAAACAGGAUUAGAUACCCCCGUAUUCCCUGUCUCUUAUAC
rnacentral:rRNA from 1 species